GUUGCUUUCACAAAAUAAUACCAAAAAUACUCAACAUAAGUUAGUUGCACCGUACAUCAAUGAUAUAAGCUAGUCACAAUAGUGUUCAUAAACAUUUAGCAAAAAAUUACAUAUCACUAAUAUCUCUCGAUUGUAAUGUAAACUUUUCUUCAAAUUCCCAGCAAAAUAAUGGCUAAUCUGCAUGUUAUCAAAAAUGUGCUUCUAGUAAACUUCAAUAUCCAAAACCUGUAGAAGAAAUAAGAAAUUUUAGUUAGAUUGACUGAAUGCAAAUCUCUCAAGUAUCAGUAAGGCAAGUAGGCAUACUAAAAGAUGUCACAUUUGACAAGUAAUUUAGGAGUGAACUCAGCCAACAGAUACAAUAUUUGAACUCAGCUACUAAAAGAUGUCACAUUAGACAACUCAGCCAACAAAGGGAAUAAGCAAUAAUCUGUAGCCAUUGUAUUUGAGGCUUAAGUGCUGUUGAAUGCUUUUACUUGAGUUUAUGCUCAAAAUAAGGACUGUUUAGUUACACCUAAUUGCUUGAUUUUCCUGAAUCUUCAUUCCUCAGGCAGAUUGAUUGUCUUGAACAACUUACUAGGGGUUGCAAAGAUUGUGGACUGAUGGACACACAGAUUUCUUGAUAAAUGCCAUGCGGAAGAACCUUUUCAAAUGCAUAUUGUAUGAACACUAAUGAAAAUUAAGCCAACAUCUUCAGUGCCGAUAUGGAGCUUCACUGUGUGGUAGACGUAUGUCAGUUUCAGCAAUAAUCAUCAAUGGAGAGAAACUAAUAAUUGCAAAUAUAGGUGAAUACAAAGUAGUGGUAUGCAAAGACGGCGAAGCUUUCGAAAUCAACAGAAGGCAACAGCAUACAACAAAGUCACAUUGGUCACAUAAACUAUUUCCAGGCAUGAUAAUAUAUCAUCCUUUUACCCGUCGUUGUGAAUUUUCAUUUGAUUUAGAGACUAUAGCUGAGUUGAUUCUUUUUGGUUCGUAUCAGUUGUCGUCAAACGCUUACCUAAAGUAAGACGCACAGCCUUAGAUUCUGGAUAGGGAGUUGCAGCUAAUAAGCCUUCUAAAAGCUCAGAACUUGCUGUUGGCUGUAAAUUGAUCGCGAUAUUGAUUUUGUGUACUGAUCUUUAAACACUUAGUUUAAAUUGUAAUUUCUUCAUUAUCAACUGAUAAAUUUUUGAAGACAUUUGCAAACAUCUUUUAUAUUUAAUAUUUAAAAGUAAAAAGAAUUGUAGUGGCCACACAUACUAAACUCUCCAGGAUGACAUUACAAUUCAAAUAUUACGUGCUAGGCGCUUCCCAUUGGGACAUGUAGUCCAAGUAGAGUUGGCAGGGCAGCUCUCCUGUUGAAUCAGAAUUGACCCAGUUUCAGAAGGACAUAGCGCCGAGUUUAAUCAGAAUUGAUCCUUUGAGAAAAUGAAGGCAUAGGUAGAUUUGGGUGGUGUAGUCUCAGAUUGCCUUCCGUAUUUAUCUUAUGUCUCUUUUUCUUCCUUCUCGGCUUCUUCGACUCUGCUCCCUUCUCUCACCAGGUCUCUUCUCUUUUAUUUAUUUAUAUAUUGUCAACCAGUAAUAUUUGAAUUGCAUGUUAUAAAAAUAUAGCUUUAAGAUACUGACAAUAGUAACACACAUUAUAUAUAACUUACAGUAAUAUUAGAACUCUAAGUUACUUCUGGUUGUCAAGAAGAUAACAAAAGUUACUUACAGUAGUAACUUACAGUUCUACUAUUACUGCAAGUGUUACAUGGGUUAUUUUGAGGGUAUCAUUGAUACUCUGAAAGAAGUAGAAACUCUCUACACAUUUUGGACUUUUUUGUUUUGUUUACAGCACUUAGCUUAGUUUUAUUGUGCAUCUAUACAUUAGAUAGAUGGUUUGAUGGAGUUUGUUGGAUCCUUUCACUUUUGGGUAGGGACCUACAGUUUUUUGUUCUCUCUUUCGUAAAUGUUUACGUCAACACUUGCUUGUUUUGUUUUAUUCAUUUAAAUUAUCCUUUAUAGUCACUAAGAAUAAAAAUAGGAAUCAACAUGGUUUCUGUUAACUAUAUGUAGUAGAUUGACUGAACCAUGUUGUGUGUUAUAUACUGUGGUCUUCUCAUCUUAGGUCCUUUAUUGGACUGUGCAUGAGUGUGGUUAUUAGUGAUGGCUAACCAGCAACAAAAACAACAACAACCCAGUAUAAUCCCACUUAGUGGAGUCUGGGGAGGGUAGUGUGUACGCAGANNNNNNNNNNNNNNNNNNNNNNNNNNNNNNNNNNNNNNNNNNNNNNNNNNNNNNNNNNNNNNNNNNNNNNNNNNNNNNNNNNNNNNNNNNNNNNNNNNNNNNNNNNNNNNNNNNNNNNNNNNNNNUCCAAAUAGACCCCCGGCAUCCUUCCCUCCAAGAACUUCCCACCUUGCUCUUGGAGAGACUCGAACUCACAACCUCUCGGUUGGAAGCGGGGGUUGCAUACCAUCAGAGCAACCCCAGUUAUAUAAAUAUUACUGGUUGCUGCAGAUGAAUUGAAGAAUAUGUCAAAAGAGGUAGAACUAGCAGAUGUUGCUGCAGUAAGUGCUUGGAACGACUCUGAAGUAGGGAGUAUGAUUGGGAAGAAAGGUGUUGUGAACCUUGAAGAGGGGAAAAGUGCUGAAAACAGUCUCCGUGUGGUUGAAGGAAUGCAAUUUGACCGUGGUUACAUCUCACCAUACUUCAUUACUGACAGUGAGAAAAUGUCCGUUGAAUAUAACAACUGUAAGUUACUACUGGUUGACAAGAAGAUGACAAAUGCAAGAGAUCUUGUUGGUGUCCUGGAAGAUGCUAUCAGAAAUGGUCACCCAAUUUUAAUUAUUGCCAAAGAUAUUGAGCAAGAAGCACUAGCCACCCUUGUUGUCAAUAAGCUAAGGGGUGCUUUAAAGGCUGCUGCCCCCUGAUUUUGGCGAACCAGGAAUCAAUCACAUGUUGCACGGCAAAAGCAUAAGUAGAAAAUAAUUAGGAAUAGAACACACUGAAGUAAUAAUAAUUACAUUGGUUUGGAACACGGAAUUUAAUCAGGACAUACCACCAACAAAGGGAGCACAUAAGAAUGAAGAGAAAAGUAUAAGCACAAUGUUAGCCUUAGCUUACAGCCGGCUAAUAAUAAGCAGGAGCAUGGAGCAACAACAGAGCAAAAGAGAGAAGUAAACACAAGAGAGAGAGCAAUGCUAUUAUUGUGUGUGUGUGUUUGUGAUGUGCAAUGUGUUGGUGUGUCAUGCAAAAGAGAAUGGGGGUACUUAUUUUAUUGAAUACGAGUGAACCAACAAGGUAACAAUCCCUAAUUAAGGGACUGACAUCAAUCGUAAUCAAAUUACUAUAUGGACUCCCCUUUAAUUAAGGAAUCAAAGUCAAAUUAUAAUAAAUAGUUAUUUAAAAGGAAAGAAAUCACGAAGCAUGGUAUGAUCACAUAAUAAAACAGAAUAGCAUAAAGUAUGCAACAAAGACUAGGUACAUGAUACUCUAAUUCGGAAAAUAGGUUAGGCAAAUUAAUCAAUAUAUUUGUGCACAUAUAUAGGAAAAAAAACAACUUUAAUUCUGGAAAUAAGCUUUCAAAAUAAUGAACAAGAUUGAAAACCUAAGAGAUCAGUAUUAAUCAAGGAAAGUAUCCUGCAGAUUGAGGAAGAAAUUCGAAAUCAAUACCAAACUAUAAGAAGAAUACAAAAAAUCACAUCUUUUAAGGAAAGUAUAACAGUCUUAAAGAGGGCUUGUAAGAAUCAGAUAAAAUCACCAUGUAAUCAAUCAGAGGAACCUUAAGAGAAGAACACAGAAUGAUAGGGGAAUGAAACACUAAUAACAAAAAUAAAGCAAAGAGCACAAAACUCAGAGAAGAACCCAGAAGAACACACAAACAAGCAAAUAAUACAAACACAAACAUAUAAAGCUAGGGUUUCAUAAAGAGAUUUCAAAAAGGGGUUCAAAAAUAGAGAGUAGUGCUAAACAUAAAGGCGUGAUUAAAAAACAAUUAAACAAUACAGAGAUUUAAGAGGUCUGGGUCGAGAUUAGGGUUUCAUAAGAAACCAGUAAGAGAAGUAAGAGAAACCUGGUAAUGAAACUUUAGGAAUAGUGGUGUUUAUAGCACCAUCAGAACACAACACAUAUAGCACCAUCUGAACACAACCCAUCGGAGAAAGGCCAGAAACAAACCCAGGAAAAGCUUCAGUGACCAUCUUGUAUAGUAAAUACUCCUGGAGUCUCAGGGAUGGAGGGCACAGGUAAGAUAAGGCUUCAAGGCGGCUGGUGGUCGAAAGAGGCGAGGCUGGAGGUGGCCGGAGAGAUGGUGAAGGCCAUCAGAGAAGAAGAACCAGAAAGUUCUAGAGAGAAGGAGGAGAGGAAGAGACAGAUAGAGAGAGAGACC
rnacentral:lncRNA from 1 species